GAGACAUUUAUAAUCUUAACGCUAUUCAAAUAUAAAAUUGUUAUUUAAUCACACAAUAAUGUUUCAAUUUAAUACAAAUUGUUACUUAAUUAAUAUUUUUCAAAAUAUUAAAGAGAGAAAAAUAUAUAUAUAAUAUUAUUAUAAUGUACUUAUCUAAUAUAAAUCGCAAAAAGUGUGAGAUGCCGGAAGUGAAAUGAGCGAGCGAUCUCUCGACCAAUUACGGGCUGCUUCUAGGACUGUGCAACGGUAAAGCGGAUUUACUCCGGACACCGGAGAUUUUCCGACACAACAGGAAACGACCUACUUCCGUGAAUCAAGUUCCUCUACAUUCAUUGGAACGUCCCCACCCAGCCCAUGCAGUCAGCACCAUGUUGAAGAGCUUACCAAAUACUAUUCCCAAAAAGUUUUGUUAAUUGCUCAGUUUGAACUUAAUAAUUUUAUGAAAAAUAUUAAGUACCUAUGUAUUUUUAUAACCAUUUAAAAAAAAAAAUUAAGUAUCAUUUUUUUCAAUAGGUUUAGGAAAUUUUAAUAAUAUAAGUAAGUGAACUGCAGCAAUGAGUUGAGAGUGCAAUUUCUCAGAUUCUUGUAAUUAUUUAUAGUAUUUAAUUACAUUAAUUGUAGGAAAAAUUUUGUACAACAAGUUAUUAUGAAAUAUUCUAUUGUCCUCAAAAUUUGUGUAGAAGAAUAUUUUGUUGUGACAAUGAAAACUAUCUUGAUAUUUAAAGUGUAAAUAUAAUAAAAUAUACAUUAUUUACAUAGGAAAAUAUAUAUUCUAUUUAUUAUAAUUGUGGUCAUCCUGCUUGAGAGAGAGACACCUGCAGGUAUUGAUAAUUGCACGGGUUCUUCUCAUAUAGAUAUGAUGGUCAUUUAUAAUAAUAAUAUUAUGUUGUUUGUUUCCUCCAUUAGAACGCUGUAAUAUAAAAAAAAAUAUUGUAUUACCUACAGUUACUUAACAAUAGUUAUAAGUAUAAUGUGAAAUUGUACCAAUGGUAAAAUAAUAUAGUCAUACAACAAUAAUUUGAAACUGUAAAUAUCAAUUUAAUGUGUUGUAAGUCCAUCAGUAUACAAUCAGUGUACUUAUAUGAAGUUUUUAAUAAAGAUGUAAAGAAAGAUAAUUUUCAAAUUCAAAUUAUAUUUAUUGUGGUACACAGGUAGGAUUAAGGUGUUAUACAUUUACUUAUAUUACAGUACAGCUAUGAUCCGUUAUAAUAGCAUACAACAAUUUAAAAUUCUAGAGAAGACAGAAUACAUUCUAUACAUAUUAACAUCAUCAAGAUGAUCGUUCAAACAGUAAUAACAUUUGUCAUGCAGAAUUUUAAAUAAUUUAUUUUUAUAAUCACUAAUGUCUUUCAUAAUAUGUCUCUUAUUGGUUUUGGAAUUUUUUUAUAAUUAUGUCAGGAAUUAAGUGAAAUACACUUUUAUGGAAUAA